rnacentral:rRNA from 1 species
UAGCAUAUCAAUAAGCGGAGGAAAAGAAACCAACAGGGAUUGCCCCAGUAACGGCGAGUGAAGCGGCAAGAGCUCAAAUUUGAAAUCUGGCCUCCUCCGGGGGUCCGAGUUGUAAUUUGCAGAGGAUGCUUCGGGUGCGGCCCCCGUCUAAGUUCCUUGGAACAGGACGUCAGAGAGGGUGAGAAUCCCGUCUUGGGCGGGCGGCCCGCGCCCGUGUGAAGCUCCUUCGACGAGUCGAGUUGUUUGGGAAUGCAGCUCUAAGCGGGUGGUAAAUUUCAUCUAAAGCUAAAUAUUGGCCGGAGACCGAUAGCGCACAAGUAGAGUGAUCGAAAGGUUAAAAGCACCUUGAAAAGGGAGUUAAACAGCACGUGAAAUUGUUGAAAGGGAAGCGCUUGCGGCCAGACUCGGGGGCGGGGUUCAGCGGGCGCUCGUCGCCCGUGCACUCCCCGCGCCCCGGGCCAGCAUCAGUUUCGACGGUCGGUCAAAGGCCCCCGGAAUGUGUCGUCUCUAGGGACGUCUUAUAGCCGGGGGUGCAAUGCGGCCCGUCGGGACUGAGGAACGCGCUUCGGCUCGGAUGCUGGCGUAAUGGCCGUAAGCGGCCCGUCUUGAAACACGGACCAAGGAGUCUAACAUCCACGCGAGUGUUCGGGUGUCAAACCCGUGCGCGCAGUGAAAGCGAACGGAGGUGGGAGCCUUUGGGCGCACCAUCGACCGAUCCUGAAGUCUUCGGAUGGAUUUGAGUAGGAGCGUGGCCGUUGGGACCCGAAAGAUGGUGAACUAUGCCUGAAUAGGGUGAAGCCAGAGGAAACUCUGGUGGAGGCUCGCAGCGGUUCUGACGUGCAAAUCGAUCGUCAAAUUUGGGCAUAGGGGCGAAAGACUAAUCGAACCAUCUAGUAGCUGGUUCCUGCGA